rnacentral:lncRNA from 1 species
CUGGGUGCUGGGAGAGUGCGCCUUAGGCUGUUGCAGCUGACAGCUGAUUUGAAGGAUGGACUCUCAACAGCUUGGGGCUGAGUCCCCAUGGCUGAGGGCUGGAGGCCAGGUCCCAGUGCAGCCUUCAGAGGAGGGUAUGGCUGGCUGGACCGUGGGGCUGACCUCACAUUUGACCAUUGGCAGCAUCAUCGCUUGAUGGCCUUAGGGAAGUGACUUUGUUAUAACAGUGACCUCGCUGCUCCCUGGGCCAGCACAGCAUGAACAGCUGUGCCCCAGCACAUCCUCCACCAUGAUGAUUGGCUUCACCACAACCCAGCAGCACUGCAGCCAGCAGCCAUGGACUGAACCUCUAAAACCAUAAGCCAGAACGAAAACUUCAACUUGCUGUGUCAGGUAUUUUGUCUCAGCCAUGAGAAUCUGGCUAACACAGAGAUGAUGAAAGCACUGACCCCUCAGAAAGGUAUGAAGGUUGACACUGACUGGGUCAGCUGGGCAUUGUGGUGCACACCUAUUAUCCCAGCACUUAGGAGGCUGAGCCGGGAGGAUCACUGUGAAUUCAAGGCCAGCUGGGGCUACACAGUGAGUUCAAGACCAGUCUGAAGUACAAACCUGCAGAAGUCUUGAAAACGACAGCAGGGCUGAGGUCUCUUCUGGUUCCAAGCAUUGGAAAGGAGCAGAUACCCCCGGGCCUCAGGACACAAACAAGACUGGACUACAGCAGAAAGCUAAAGUGGACAGAGCAGUCAUACCCAGGAGCAAAGCCCCAGACCAGCAGCACAGGCUGACGCCAUCUUGGGAUGGAGGGGCCAGGCCAGGGCUCCUGUGCAGGAAGAGGCCCGGCCUGGCAGGCAGCUCAAGAGCAUCAGUGGUAUGGGGCACACAAGGCCUGGCCGGCACCGCCACCCUUGGCACUGCUCUUCCUGAACACCUCUGUCCUGCACAGCACCAGCCUGCUGUCUCAGUGGCCAUAGUGUGGGAGCCCUGGUUCUGAGGUAGAAAGCACAGCUUGCAGUGAUGAAGACACGAGCCUAGGGAAGGAGGAGGGUCCCUGUGAAUGACAGCAGGGGAAGAUGUGCUGGAUUUGUUAGGAACCUGAAGCUGAUAAAGACAGCUCGUAACACAACCAGGAAAUCUCAGUGGAGGUGUCUGGGCUGAAGGGGCUGCUCAGCGUGUCUGAAGGAGGAAACUGAAGCUUGAAGGUCUGCCCAGUGCCAGACAUCCUCAGAAAGGACAGGCUGGAAGCACGUGUGCGAGAGCCUGGUGUCCCUGGACACAUGGGAAUUACAGAGGCAGUGGACAGGGCCCGGGGGAGGCCGUGGCUACUCAGGGAAGGUGUGCAGGCCUGGCGGGAGCUCCGAGA